GAUGAACGCUGGCGGCGUGCCUAAUACAUGCAAGUCGAGCGAACGGACGAGAAGCUUGCUUCUCUGAUGUUAGCGGCGGACGGGUGAGUAACACGUGGAUAACCUACCUAUAAGACUGGGAUAACUUCGGGAAACCGGAGCUAAUACCGGAUGAUAUUUUGAACCGCAUGGUUCAAAAGUGAAAGACGGUCUUGCUGUCACUUAUAGAUGGAUCCGCGCUGCAUUAGCUAGUUGGUAAGGUAACGGCUUACCAUGGCAACGAUGCAUAGCCGACCUGAGAGGGUGAUCGGCCACACUGGAACUGAGACACGGUCCAGACUCCUACGGGAGGCAGCAGUAGGGAAUCUUCCGCAAUGGGCGAAAGCCUGACGGAGCAACGCCGCGUGAGUGAUGAAGGUCUUCGGAUCGUAAAACUCUGUUAUUAGGGAAGAACAUAUGUGUAAGUAACUGUGCACAUCUUGACGGUACCUAAUCAGAAAGCCACGGCUAACUACGUGCCAGCAGCCGCGGUAAUACGUAGGUGGCAAGCGUUAUCCGGAAUUAUUGGGCGUAAAGCGCGCGUAGGCGGUUUUUUAAGUCUGAUGUGAAAGCCCACGGCUCAACCGUGGAGGGUCAUUGGAAACUGGAAAACUUGAGUGCAGAAGAGGAAAGUGGAAUUCCAUGUGUAGCGGUGAAAUGCGCAGAGAUAUGGAGGAACACCAGUGGCGAAGGCGACUUUCUGGUCUGUAACUGACGCUGAUGUGCGAAAGCGUGGGGAUCAAACAGGAUUAGAUACCCUGGUAGUCCACGCCGUAAACGAUGAGUGCUAAGUGUUAGGGGGUUUCCGCCCCUUAGUGCUGCAGCUAACGCAUUAAGCACUCCGCCUGGGGAGUACGACCGCAAGGUUGAAACUCAAAGGAAUUGACGGGGACCCGCACAAGCGGUGGAGCAUGUGGUUUAAUUCGAAGCAACGCGAAGAACCUUACCAAAUCUUGACAUCCUUUGACAACUCUAGAGAUAGAGCCUUCCCCUUCGGGGGACAAAGUGACAGGUGGUGCAUGGUUGUCGUCAGCUCGUGUCGUGAGAUGUUGGGUUAAGUCCCGCAACGAGCGCAACCCUUAAGCUUAGUUGCCAUCAUUAAGUUGGGCACUCUAAGUUGACUGCCGGUGACAAACCGGAGGAAGGUGGGGAUGACGUCAAAUCAUCAUGCCCCUUAUGAUUUGGGCUACACACGUGCUACAAUGGACAAUACAAAGGGCAGCGAAACCGCGAGGUCAAGCAAAUCCCAUAAAGUUGUUCUCAGUUCGGAUUGUAGUCUGCAACUCGACUACAUGAAGCUGGAAUCGCUAGUAAUCGUAGAUCAGCAUGCUACGGUGAAUACGUUCCCGGGUCU
rnacentral:rRNA from 1 species